ensembl:lncRNA
AGAUCCACGAAAUGCCAACCACAGGGAAUCACAGAUUUGAUGAUGUAGCUUCUGUAUGGGUAUCCAUGGGUUGCAUGGGUAUAAAAUGUUUCGGAUUUAAAGGAUAAGUAAUCAACCAAAUUCUUGCAAGUGGUCAGUUGGCUCUGCAGACUGCAGAUAAGGGAAGAAGCAAAGAAAAAUGUUGCUGCCCUAUAUAUCGGAAAGAUCUCCCUUCACAGAAUCAGCUGUCACAGAACUUGGAUCAGCCCUCUUCAUAAAGGCCUCAGCUAAGAGAACAAAACCACGCAGCUCACUCAAGACCAUGCUGGGAAUUGUACUUCUCAACUGUCACCACUGUGUGCCUUUGACACUCUUUGGACUACAAAGAGUGUGGGGAACAAGAAAAGGCCAUCAGAUGCAAGUCUUCCAGCCCCUUUCCAGGUAGGUCCAUCUUUAACUUGCUGAAGUUUGGUGCUCCCCAGUACAUACACAUAAUUCUGCUUUCAUCUGCAAGAAGCUUCUGUCAAAGAGAGGUGGAUUCCAGAGGUUGAAGAGGUUAAAAUAAAUGAAGAAUGCAUUUAACUUCAAGAACUUAAGUAAUUCCACUGGAACCAAUAAGACUAUUCAGAGCAGGGACUGGUUCCAAAGCAGUUAUGUUGACAGUGAAGUUGCAGUAUCUUAUUAUAUUUCUGGUAGAAUAUGACAGCCCAAGAGCCAUGACGUUACACAGUACUUCUAGGAUCCUAAGCAUGGCUGCAGCAUUAUAGAGGAUUGUCCUGGUAUAUCUUCAUCAACUACAUCAAGGCUUCUUUUGCCAGAAGAAAUAAAGAAUAUUCUGAAACUACAGAGAGUUCAUAGGCAAUGGGGCAAUACCACGGAAGGAUUAAGUGAACAAAACUUGCUCUCAGAAGCUGACACUGAAUAAAUCCUGAUGAACCCCACGCACACCUUCCAGGAAUGAGAUGACCUGCACCCAUUCCAAGUAAGAAACUUUUCUCUUUUAGCAGUGGAGGUGCCAAGCAAUUUUAGUGGGAAGCAAAAUCCAGCAACAACCAAAGGACAUUUGUACAGUUUUUUCAGUUUAUUUUAUAGAAUCUCAAAUUGUUGAACCUGGAAAACAUCUCUGGAGAUCAUCUAGUUCACCGCCCUUACUCAAAGAGGAGUCAGCACAGUACUGUGUCCAGUCAGGCUUGAAUAUCUCUGAGAAUAAAGACUUCACAACCUCUUUGGGAACCUCUUUCAGUGUAUUAUCCCAGCAGCACAUCCGUGUAACAUACUAGCCACUCUUCCCAAUUUCGUAUCAUCUGCAGACUUGCUGACUGGCUUGACCAAGCCAAUCACUGAAGAAGGCUAUCAGGUUUGCCAAGAAAGAUUUCCCCUGCAUAAAAUCAUGGUGACUGCUCCCAUUUGACUUGUUGUUCUUCAUAUGUCUGGAAACAAUUCCAGCAUCAUUUGUUCUAUCACUUUCCCGGUGAUCAAGGUAAGACAGACUGACUUGUUUUUUCUCAGAUCCUCCUUGCCAUUCUUUAAGAUGGGAAUGAUAUUUUCUUUCUUCCAGUCUAUGGGAACCUCUGUCUAUUACCAUUACCCUUCCAGGAGUGACUCUAUGAUGAUGUCAUUCAGCCUUCUUAGCAGUUGUGGGUGUAUCCCAACAGACACCAUAUAUUGUGCAUGUUCAGCUUAUGUAAAUGUUCCCUAACCUGAUCCUUCUCCAUCAGGGGUAAGUCUCCCUCACUCUGGACUUUCCUGUUGGUUUUGGAGGCCUGGUCUUACCAAUAAAGAUCAAGAUGUAGAAGGCCCUGACUGCCUUGUCCUUUUCUGUGUCUUUUGUCACCAGAUCAAUCUCUCCACUCAGCAGCAAACCCAUAUUUUCCCUAGUCUUUCUUUUGCUGCUGAAGAAUCUGGAGAAACAUUUCAUGUUGGCUUUCACCUCCCUCACCAACUUCAACUCCAGAUAAGCUUUGGCUUUCCUAAGUACAUCCCUGCAUGCCCAAACAGAGUCUCUGUGUUUCUGCUGUGUUCAUUCACAGAGUUUUCCCUGAACACCCAUCCAACACAGUGCUCUUGAAGGUAGUAUUUCUGUUGUCCAGAUGCACCAGGAUCCAUUUGGUGUUGUGUUUUUUAGUAUAUGAAAGAGACAGAUGAAGUGGAGCCUAGACAUAUUCUGCUGAAGCCUGUGAAAAAGAGCCUGUCUUGGCCUGCACCUCUAGUAUGGCAAAACAUCAUCCAGACAUCAAAGGGAAGAAGAGAGGAACAAAUACAGGAAGGUAAUUUUCAUGGAAAUCCCCUGAACUGUUUUCAUUCCUCUAGUUUCUGUGAUGAACAUUCAGAAGGUUGCCUCCAAUUUAUCAGUUUGAUGAGGGGAAAGAGAUCACAUUCUCCAAAGCUCUGCUCAUUCCAGACCCCCACAAGAAAUGUCAGUAACCAUGGAAGGAAUGUGCAGAUACUCACAGUGAGGUCACUUCCCAUGGUUGCCACCCACUGGAUCAGGCUGCUCAGUGUCCCAUCCAAACUGGCCUUGGACACCUCCAUGGAAGGGACAUCCUCAGCUUCUCUGGGAAGCCUGUACCUCACCACUCUUAAAAUAAAGAAUUUCUUCCAAAUGUCUAAUCUCAAUCUACACUCUUUUAGUUUUAAACCAUUACCCCUUGUCCUAUCACUGCAUUCUCUGUUAAGGAGUGUCUCUCCAGAUUUCCUAUAGGCCACUUUAGGUACUGAAAGACCACAGUGUGGUCUCCAUGGAGCCUUCUUAAAGCUGAACAAGCCCAACUGUCUCAGCCAGUUUUCACAGAAGAGCUCCCACACUGAAGGAUCUCUGUUCACUACCAUGACAGAACCAUAUACUGACCACAGCAUCUUAUAUGGCCACAGUAGAAACUGUCAAAAGCACAGAUUCUUUUUUGAAGAAUGUCAUCUAGGCUGGGUCAAAUUAAUCAAAAUGUAGGUCCUCCUCUUUCUUGGAUACACAAUGGGCAGUGUGUACAGUACAUGAAAUAAAAAAACAGUUCACAUUGUGGUUUUUUGUUUUUUGUUUUUUUUAUCAAUAAGUUCAUGCUUGGUAUAAUGUUGAUAGGUAUCCUUGCCUUAUUUUGACAUGCUUCAAGUGGUGUUGCGAAACAUGAGCACAAAAGUUGACCACAAACAUUGUCACGGUCUUACCUCUAGAACAAUAAUUCCCACAAAAUGUAAUGCCCAUUGAGCAGCAAUACUCAAAUAAAAAGGAAUUUUAUAAACAGAGCUUAGAAAGUCCAUUAACUGGGAUGCAGCAAGUGGGCUUCAGUGAAGACUGGUGCUCUGCAGUUCUUUCAUUGCUGAGGGCAGCAUUACUGGAAACAUCUUCAGUUUAUAUCCCUGUAAACAGAUUUCUGUGCUAAGGAUAAACGAACUGGGAGCUACACUCUCCCCAUGGCUGUUUGGCCAGUAUGAGUCCAUUUCAUCUUGUGUGGGGCAUUUGUGAAAUAGAGCUGCCGAAGCAUUUCCAUGAAAGUCAGUGAUUGCCUAAUCCCUUGCAAGUGUACUCUUCAGAAGUUAGACCAAUUUCGGCUUCUCUUUUAUUUGCGAACAUUGCAGCAAAUCUUUCCUUCUUGUUUUUGGUCUCCAGCCCACUCUAAUUCCAGUGACUCAUACUGUGGUGAAAAUAGGUUAUGUGACAGACAGAAAUGUUGGUUUUACUGUUUCAGAGAUAAAAGAAGUACAGUUUGAGCCCUCUGUGUGUGACCCAAGGUAGCAAGUGCUUAGGUAUUUGCCGCAUGAAGACUAAAUGCAUACAGCUACAAUGUGAGUAGUCUGGCAUGGGAGAAGUGAGGAUGCAUUCUGCAUUGACUUUUCUCCCCAGGAGGGACAGAGAAAUAAGGGAAAGGGAAGAAGAGAAGGGGAUGGCAUCUCUUUAGGUUUCUCUCAACUCCACUUUCCUUAAUGUACAAUACAUACUGAAAUACAUGCUGAAAUGAUUUGGAGAAUGUGCAUCUGUUAUUAAUGUGACAUUUCAGGGCACUGAUAAUUUGACUCUGGAAGUGAUUUUAGUUAGAAGGCCUCAUUAUGUAUCUUUCCCUCACUUGCGGAAGUGGAGUUGUGGUGAAGGAGAUUCUGUGCAAGAAAUGCCAACUACAAGACAGGAGGUCUCAAUAAAUUUACAAGAAAAGUCAAGCUAUGAUUAAAGAUGUGUCAUCGAGCUCUCUCAU